CCUUGUCUCCUAAUGACUUGCACGAGGAUCUGCCCAGACCCGGAACUACGUGCGUGGCUCGUUUUGACGAAGACGGUUGUUACUAUCGCUCGCAAAUCCUCAGUAUUGUUGAUGACAUUGCCAACAUUCUUUUUGUUGAUUAUGGAAAUCAACAAAAGACUCCUCUAUCACGACUGAAACAAAUUACCCCAGGUUACGUGGAGUUGCCGCCAGUGGCUUAGAAGUGUAAAUUAAAGGGGGUCAAGUUCAACCCGAUCUGCCCCGAUUUCAUGGAACACAUUGACGCAUGCUUUCCAACAAACGAGGAGCUUUCUGCUUUGUUUCACGCUCCCCCUUCAGGUGACUGUGGUGAAGUAUUUGAAGUGGAUUUGACUGUUUCUAAAAUUGGCGAUGCGGCCCAGUUUUUGAUUAAGAAUGACGUAUUGGAACGUGUAUCUCUAAAGCGGAGCUUAUAACUUAAUAACUUACCUCGACACAAGAAUCAGCGGCGUCGAUUGUCGCAGAGAGCGUAAGAAAUCCUUAUUUAAGAUAAAGUUCUUUAACGGGAAGGAGUGACGUCACUUUCAUUAGAAGAAUUACGCUCUCUAAAUAUCUUUGACAUCUAUUCCUACACGAGUACGAUUAAUGAAUCGUCAUUCUUAGUUACCAAUGUUUGUUUUUUAAAAUUUUCAGGCUAGCUAUACUCGUGGAUUGAAUCUUUCAACAUGAGAACCCAAGAUGUGGUGAAAUAUUUAGAGCAGUGAAUUGCAGUGUCUGUUCACGUUGAUCCGGCAACCUAUUCUCUCGUCCUUCUUUGCCCGAUUUCACUUGCCUAUAACCACUACUAACCGUGUGCUUGUUCAGUAACUAACCUUGUCUUUCAAUUUAAGCCUGCAAAUGUUGGAUUUUUUUUUCAAUAAAGAACUUCUGUACGUCGUACCAUUCGUGGCGAAAGUUUUACUAGAGUCAUGUGCUAAGAGCUAAGUUUUCAAACCACCCAAGCAAUGGACCCUA